rnacentral:piRNA from 1 species
AUGAGGGAAAAAAUGGAGAAAUUAGUUG